GUGGAUCAAUGAUGCUACUUAAAUCUGCGUUAUCUUUCUGCAAGUUCCCAUGGAGGGAAUUGAAGAUAAUUUCAAGUUACUGAGAUCUCGU